AUUGAACGCUGGCGGCAUGCUUUACACAUGCGAGUCGAGCGGUAACAGGCCUUCGGGUGCUGACGAGUGGCGAACGGGUGAGUAAUGCAUCGGAACGUACCCAGAGGUGGGGGAUAACGCAGCGAAAGCUGUGCUAAUACCGCAUGUGAUCUGAGGAUGAAAGCGGGGGACCGCGCAGCAAUGUUUGGCCUCGCGCCUUUGGAGCGGCCGAUGUCGGAUUAGCUAGUUGGUGGGGUAAAGGCCUACCAAGGCGACGAUCCGUAGCUGGUCUGAGAGGACGACCAGCCACACUGGGACUGAGACACGGCCCAGACUCCUACGGGAGGCAGCAGUGGGGAAUUUUGGACAAUGGGCGCAAGCCUGAUCCAGCAAUGCCGCGUGCGGGAAGAAGGCCUUCGGGUUGUAAACCGCUUUUGGCAGGAACGAAACGGUGUCCGCUAAUACCGGGCGCUAAUGACGGUACCUGCAGAAUAAGCACCGGCUAACUACGUG
rnacentral:rRNA from 1 species